UACGAAGGGGGCUAGCGUUGCUCGGAAUUACUGGGCGUAAAGGGCGCGUAGGCGGACAGUUUAGUCAGAGGUGAAAGCCCAGGGCUCAACCUUGGAAUAGCCUUUGAUACUGGCUGUCUUGAGUUCGGGAGAGGUGAGUGGAAUGCCGAGUGUAGAGGUGAAAUUCGUAGAUAUUCGGCGGAACACCAGUGGCGAAGGCGACUCACUGGCCCGAUACUGACGCUGAGGAGCGAAAGCGUGGGGAGCAAACAGG
rnacentral:rRNA from 1 species